rnacentral:misc_RNA from 1 species
AAGUCGUAACAAGGUUUCCGUAGGUGAACCUGCGGAAGGAUCAUUAAUGAUGUUUAUUUUUCUAUGUUGGGAAAUUGUCUGCUGUUGUGGGGAUAUUUUUGUCCCCGCGCUAGUCAACGUGAUCUUUAUUCUAGUCUGACUUUUAUGUAAAUAAUAAAAGACAACUUUUAGCGACGGAUCUCUUGGCUCUC